CUUCCCUCACCCCGCGCCCCUCCCCCAACGUAGAUCCCACGCCCCCACCGGUCGCCGCCCUCGCGUCCACCUCAUCCUCCCCGCGAUGCUCUCGCUUCUCCUCGCGCAAACCAUAGGGUCCGAUGGUGCCUACAGUCCCUGGACUCUGGAGGACUUCGACAUGCACGAGAACCUGUUGUAUCGGUCGGGACUAGCGAUGGCAGCGGUCGCGGUGCUCCUACCAGAGGGAAACCUAACCGGUGCCCCGUCGACCUCUAGGCACUGUGGGCAGGGCGGCCGUUGGCGAGGCCGUGCCCCCAUCCUCCCCGCCCCGACAGACGAUCUGAGCCGUCGCCGAGGCUGACUGCGCCAUCGCCCUCACCCUACAGAAGACGUGGAGGAGGAAGGUCCUACAGAAUAUGCGGAGGUCGGCAGCGAGGGUGGCAAGCGGGUAGUGGUGGACGCCUCUCACGUGGUCAGCCACACCGACCACGGCAUGCCUUGGAAGCUCCUCAACGCGGUGUGUGAGACAGGGCUCGUCUUCUUUCGCGCACCCAUGGAGGACAAGCUCCAGUUCACCUACGACCCGGCCAGGGAUGCCGUCUUGGAGUGGUACUUUUAACCUUGUGCUAUUACAAUGGCUGGAGGUUUCUGUAGGUUCUAAUGGAAGAUUACAGGGUCGUAUUGAAGUAUCAAGAGCUUUUGGUGAUCGCCAGUUUAAGAAGGUUUGCUGAUGCGUACCAUUGUUUGCUUAAUCAUAGAUGCUAUCUAUUGCCCAUCACUGUUUGAUUUGAAAUAUUCUUGUUUCCUUACAUUUACAUGCAGUUUUCUUCAUAAAGCGGACAUUCAGAUCGAAAGCAUUAAGUAAUAUUGAAACUUGGUUAUUUGCCUGUGACUAUUCUGAAUCUGAUUGGCAGAGUUCAUAUGCAUUAAGUAAUCUGAUUGGCAUGCCAGGAUCGAUGUAGUGAAUGAGCACUUUUUAAUUGUUGUUCCUUGUUGUGAAGUAACUGUGAGUGUUUGUCCCAUGGGUUCAGUUCCAAUAAUCUUUCUUAAGAUAAUUGCUUACAAUUUUUAAUUACAUUUUGGUAUUCUUAUCAGACAUCCUGAUUGCAAGCUAGUUGUUAGCCAUGAUGACUAUAGCUUAACUUCCAAGCUGCCAAGGGAGAGAACUUCUGUUGUAACGGUACUAAGAAACCCAGUUGAUUGUGUAUUUAGCACAUAUGAGUUCUUAGUUGAAGUUGUAGCUAGAUUCCUUGUGCACCCAAACUUAACUUCUGUGAAGUUAAUGAGUACCCGUGUGUUAACAAAUUGUUGUGUUGUCCUUGUCCGAACUUUAGAUAUCUGGCCUUGGAAUUACUUGGUUCCAUGUAUCAGGGAAGACCUGUUUGCCAGGGUAUGCCUGUUACUUUCAGUUUAGCCUUUGGUUUCAAUUUGCACUUUAUAGAAUUAUACUGACAGAAAAUAAUAGUUCUCUUUUUCAUAGCAAUUUCCCAGUACAUAUUGUCUUGUCAAACUGACCAAUUUAUAUGUUCAUUGUUCAGUGAUUUUGUUGCAAAUCUGUACCAGUACUGUGUUAUGUCUCAUGUGUAUUUAUACGUUAUAAUGUUAUACAUUCUCGCACAAGCAAAACUAUAGCAAACAUCUGCCUGCCGCUGAUUUCCUUAGCCAGCUUUAAAAAACCUGGUUUACUAUUUUUUAUGUGUACUCAUGUUACCUUGACAGAUUACUGAGUUAACGAACAACUCAUACUUUGAUGUAGCACAUGAGGUUCGACAUUAUGUGAGGAAGCAGCCGGAUCUUGGUCGUAUUGUGCUUGUAGUUGCUAAGGUAUAUAAUGAAUGUCAUGAAGGAUUGUUUUCCCUUAAUCCCAUAUUGUGUGAGAUACUAAAUAUAUGUCCUGAAAACAACUUACGUGUAGGACUCGCAAAACCCCCGCUAAGCAAACUGAUAGAAAACUUUUAGAGGUGGAAAUGAUGAAGAUGAUAGUGCUGAUGUCGACACAAAUGAUCCUGCUGUACCUCAGUAACUCCACUUUCUUCCCAGCCCUUUAGAGAUGAUAUGACCAUCUUUGUUCGACUAUUUUCCCAGCACUGGUCUAUACCGCAGAUCGAUGCAUAAACAACUGCUUUAGAAAAACAUAGUUUUGAAGGAUAAAACUGAAGAUUAGGAAUGACAAAUUAAAGAGUCAUCAUAGCUAAUGAACAUCUUAGCUACCAAAAAUCAUGUUUGUCCAUCUAGAAACCUUUUUCCCCUGCUCACUGCCCUAUGAUUACCAGGUUUGAGAAUUCUUUUUCCAAUAGAAUUUGUAGGCUACAAUAACCUGGCUCAAAGAAUGUGAAUUCAUUUCCCUUUGUGCUAAAGAAUCACAAAUAGUUGUAUGUACUCCUAAACAUGAAUAAGUGCAGUCAUUUUGUAGAAAUUAAAUCAUGUGACAUUCUAUGCAGAAGAUACUAAUAGUACCACCACUACCAUGUUCUACUUCAACAACAAACUUCAGAAAAGAUUAAGAGGUCAACGUUUUAAAAUGAAUGGAGCUUUUUAUAGACUGUUUGCAAAUGAAGGUAUGUAGAAACUCUGAAUUGUAUGUGCAUUAGCUUCCCAUGGUUCAGAAAACAAUAACUAUAUUGACCAAAAGUUGAGCCACUUCCCACAUGGUAUGCGGUCUUACAGUCCAAACAUCAAGGUAGUUGUCCACAGAUUGUUGGACCAAUUCACAGUGAUAGAUUAACUUAACUCUAACUGCCCUCUGUCAAGACCAGAGAUAGCCAAGUAAUAACUAAACUCCUAGGAAACUGCUUCUAAAAGGGACGGAUAUCAGAUAACCAAGUAGUGAGAAUUCAGCUAACCAUAGCAGGUGGUGCAUGCCUAUUAUGAACUUGACAAGAGCUUCGACCUAGGCAUUUUUCGCCCGAGUGGCUUCACACCAACCUCAAGGACCUCGACGUCAAAGUACUCGACUGUAGCGAUCUCUAUUCGACCUGUGAUUUAUUAUUUGUGCAACGUGUAACUUGCAAUUUGAUAGUCAAACACAAUAUUAGUAGCUUUUGAUUGCCAUUUUAGUAACGAUAUCUAUGGUUAGACUUAUCUGACUGAUAAUCUAUUGGAGUCUUUUCGUUAAAGGAACCUAUGAUGUCUAAGAAGAAAAUAGUCACCUUAAUUUUGGAUAAGUGGUUAAUGUGACAGUACGUGUAACUUGCAAUCGGUGUUGCUGAGAAUAUUUAGGCUUGUUUGACAUUAUGUUAGACUUACCAUGAUUAGUAACAAAACGAUAAAACCUAUAUUUGCAAAUUUAACUACAAUGACUGGAUUUACUUACCAAUUACUUCUCGUUCUGUUUUCUUUGACCCAUUAUUGAGAAGUAGCAUGUCACACUUCAUUUUGUAUGUGCCUUGAGAAAUUUGAAGGGAUGGUAAUUCUUUUCAUUAGCAGUUGCAUCCUUAUGUUUCUCCUUUUGUCAUUUACAAGUGGUAUUUUGAAUAUGGAUACAAUAUUGCACAUUAUUCGUUUUAAGAAAGAGAUGUUAAUCAUGCCUUGAGUAUAAUGUUUUAGAUUUUACACUAACCCACCUCCAUGUUCUAUUUCGUAUGUUUUUCUCUUGCACCCCUUUUAUUCAAUUGUUUUUUGGUUAGUCUAAAAUAGUACAAUUCAUGGAGAUAUUUUUGUUGCUGUCAACUCAGCUACGUCUUGUUGACUGUGAUGUUAAUGCCAUGAACCGAGUAGCAGUUUAUGCCCAUGAGAAUGCUUCAAUGCCCCAUUUGGGUCUUGUGGGCAAAUGAUCGGAUGGUGCAUAACUUCGAUGUAGCUUAUUUGGUCAGCUUAUAAUGGAACGAUGGGAAGACUUUGAUCCACCACAGCGCUUGGGAUGUUGAGCUGCAAUUUGGAUCGACAAUUAUUUGACAACAACUAAAAUACAUUUUUUCUUGCUUCUGCUCUUGCAGUCUUUGUAAAUUCAGGUGUCAGUGUUGGAUUCAAAUACCUUUUAAAAAAUAGAGGUUAGCAUUCCACUAGAAUAUAUGGUCACAUGUGGCUACCUAUUUCCUGCAUUCAAAAUGUAGUCACAUGAGCAGUGAUGAACUGACGAUACCAUAUUUGGCUACUUAUUUCUUGCAUUGAAAAUGUGGAGCUAAAGUGUGUAUGUUUUGUUACACAAACGUUGGUGUUGUUGUGCUUCUUUUGCUGAAGCACUGCCUUUUACGGUUGGCGACACUCAAUGUUCGAUCACCUGUACAAAACAAUAUAUGCAUUUUCUUUUGAGCAAUUCUUUUAAAAUAUAUAGGGCAAUGAAGAGCUUCAUAUUGUGUUGAACCUUUGCCUAUAAUAUUAAGUUGCAAAAGAGAGUUUUAUACUUACGACAUGCUACAUUUUGUUAUCCUUAUAGCUGGUUAGCCUAUUGCAGAAGGUGGUUGAACUUGUACUUUGAGACCAAAUAUAUAUUGCAUACUUGAUAUUAUACUAUAUUUGAGCUUGUCUUUCUUAUUCUACUCUUAUCUGUUCUUAUGAAGAUUAGAGGAAUGUGUUUGGGGUGAGUGAUUUUUUUGUGUUGUUUCCACUGUCCAUGGCUAUGGAGAAGGAGCAAAGGAGGCCACGUAGCUCGAAGAUAGCGUCAGUGUCCAUGAAGGCGUCCUUCGCAAAUGCGACGCUUCAAGGCAUGAAGAACAGAAGCCAUUUUUGAAGGGACACAAAAACUGUACUGCAACAAGACGUGUGGACAAGCUGAGGAAGAAGUUGUGGCACGAGGAGAACGUCCACCGAGCUCUAAAGCGGGCGUUCACGAGGCCGCUCGACGCUCUGUCUUGCCUCCCUCCUUUCCUAUUGUCUCAAGCAUUGGAGCUUCUGGUCCCGUUGCACGUGGAAAAUCCUUGUACUUAAAGAUUGCAAUGUAGUGGUCCCGUUGCAACACACGGACACUCACCUAAUAUUAAUUGACGCGAGAGACCGGAACAAAAUAGAGUAAUGGCACACCUCCGAGUACUAAAAUAUUAUAGCAGUUAAAUAUAAACUCUACUAUUUGCAACAUAGAAACGAGCUUAGAUCCUUACUCUCCGUC